AACUAACGGCAGCAGACUAAAGAAGCAUCAGAGACGCGAAGUUAGAAUAAUUUUCUAGUUUUCAGAGUGAAUUUCGGAUCUUUUCCAGUCAAAACAGUGUUGCAGAUUGUUGAAACGAUAGCGACCUUAACCAGAGAAGUCUUGAACGGUACCUUUAAACUGAACAGGAGGGGGUCAGGUCCAAAAAACGACCGUGAGAAAGCAGUCAUUUCAGGCUUCGCCCAAGGGAGAGACUGAAGCAGGUCUAUUCAGGGCCGAAGGUGUUGAAAUGCCUCGCAUUGUCAUGUGCUGGACAGAUGUUGGCGGAGACCACGGCACUUGCUGCCUCACGAGAGAACUGAGGCCGGCUUGUAAGGCAGAGGUGGACAUUCUGCAUGUGGCUCCGCCCCCUUCACAUCACAUUUUUUUCGGGGCAGCAGUAUUUCUGUCUGUCAGAGCACACCAGGGUAAGAAACUCCAGCAAAAACAUCCAUCAGGCCGCAGAUGCCAGGCUGAGAAUCUCCGCUAUGCUGUGCGGCGCGAAUCGGUAACGCGUGUAAACGCUUCCAGUACAUUGUCUUGAAAUCACAAUUUACUCAGCAACAUUUAUUUAUUGCGAAUCACAAGAAAAUUAGUUUAAUAUUAAUUAGCUGCUAACUGCGUUCUUCCACUCAGCAGAAUGACUAUGAAGUUGAAUCUAAUUUAAAGUCAUAAAAUCUCAUGCAAAUAUAAGCUGAAAUAUGUACAAUACUGUGCAAAGUCUUAGGCAGUCAAAGACAAUGUCUAAGGCUAUUUAUCUGGGUAGAAAAUGCAGAUUUGCUCAGAAAACAAUACAAUUCAACAUUCAA